rnacentral:piRNA from 1 species
UAAGCAAACAUUGGCUAGCUCUUGAGAGCA